UGUGGAGUUUGCAUGUUCUCCCCGUGACUGCGUGGGUUCCCUCCGGGUACUCCGGCUUCCUCCCACCUCCAAAGACAUGCACCUGGGGAUAAGUUGAUUGGCAACACUAAAUUGGCCCUAGUGUGUGAAUGUGAGUGUGAAUGUUGUCUAUCUGUGUUGGCCCUGCGAUGAGGUGGCGACUUGUCCAGGGUGUACCCCGCCUUCCGCCCGAUUGUAGCUGAGAUAGGCUCCAGCGCCCCCCGCGACCCCAAUGGGAAUAAAAAUGGAUGGAUGGAUAGAAUUGGAUUGAGCCUUUUUUUUAUGGCGUACAGUGUGUAAAAAAAAAAGUCACUUUUCUAGCAGAUAUAUUUCUCACAUUUAGCUAACUUUUCUCACAUUCGACUAAUUUUUCUUGAGUUUAGUUUAUUUUCAUCACAUUUAAGUUUAGAAUAAAUGUUGAUCCUAAAUGUAGAUCUAAAUGUUAAAUCCAUUUCUAAAUGUUAAAUCUAAAUGUAAAUAUUAAAUCCAAACCUACAUUUUUAAAUCUAAACCUUAUAUCUAAAUCUAAAUAAAAUUGUGACCGUUAUAUCUAAACCUAAAUGUGAAAUGUAAAUGUUAAAUCUACACCUAAAUGUUAAAUCUAAAUCUUAGAUAUAAAUCCUCUUGAUUUUUAGGUUUGGAUGUUUUCCGCCAAUCACUGGUUAAUUUUGUCAGAACCAUCACAAUGAAGUCACAUGAAGUUACAUGGGUGUGUUUCAUGGAGAAAGAAAACUAGCUAGGUAAAUUUUUGUGGAAAAAAUGGACAAAAGUAAGGAAAACAUAUUGGUAAUUGCUAUUUUACAAAUCAGCCUAAUUUAUAAAAAUGUCAUCUCUGUUGUAGGCACAUACAUGGAUGUCCAAGCCUGAUUGUGUUGGUGGAGAUUGUGGUACAGUGCUGCUCUUUCAGACUUAAAUCCACAUAAGCUCCAACUUGAGCGCCGUAGGCAGAGCAGCAACAAGGAUGAUGAGGUUGCCUAGCGACGUCUCAGUCACUGCACCUGAGGGUGCUGGGUAAACACCCAGAGCUUGCCAGAGGGAAGUAACAUCACUCUGUUCUUACUUGCGAACAUUAAAGGACGCUCUUUUGAAAUAUCUUUUUUUUUUGGUUCCUCAGGGUGGGAUUAUACAUUUAUCGGCUUACUUGAUUAGUGAACAGUCUGGUGGGACGUGUAAAGUGAAAGGCUCUCCUUUUCAAGUUAGUUCGAUGCUAAUUUACAUUGGAUAUGCCAUAUACAUGCUACUGAUAUUAGCAUUGGCCAUUUUACAUGGUGAAUUCAACACCUCUAAAUUUGCUAAUAAAAACUACAACUAAGAUUCGUGGUGUGUAAUAAGUACAAUAGUUACAGUAUAAACACUUUUUAGGAGGAGGUGUUUAGUAACUAGGGGCGGGUGUAUCGACAUUGACGGUAUCGAUACCAAGGUGAGUAUUGGUAUCUGAUAAAUACUCGCAUGAUGGACAAAACUAUUUUUGCUGAUGGCCUUCAUUAAAUUACUUGAGUUUUACUCGAGUUUUCUGUGACUACACUUUGCCCCACCCCUUAUCUGCUCUAUUGGUUUUAUUUUUUUACAAAUAUAUGCAUGUAAUCAAAAUAGUAAAAA